GCCCUAUGCAGUACAAUAAAAGAUAAAAUAAGUCAUACAUGGAGAAUGACAAAUAUCUAUAGCUAGAAAAGUAAGUAGAAGAGCAGUAACUACACUUGGUUGAACCGCAUGUCGGUAUAGAAAAAAAAUUACUAAAAUAAACAUGUAGUGUUGCCCUCAUAUUGCUACAAUAUGUCAGUUCUGACGUAGGUGGGCAUGUCAAAUGAGGAAAGCUAAACAAAUCUGGUCUACUACAUAAGUGAAGACCAUUAAGUUAACGUAUGGCCCUAAGCUUUAAUAAAGCUUCUUACUUUUCUCUUGUUUAGCACACUAACCAUGGUAAAUCUGAUGGUUUGCACAAAAACACCUAUCAUCGUCAGCUGUCUUAGGGCUGAUAAAUAGUAGCAUCACAAGCCAAAGGGUUUAUCCUUUCAAAUCUCUCUUGCUUCCUAUCCUUGGCUAUUGGACCCAGUUUCUGCAUGUUGGUACAGAAGAAAACUUACUAAAAUAAACAUGCAGUGUUGCCCUCAUAUUGCUACAAUACGUCAGUUCUGACGUAGGUGGGCAUGUCAAAUGAGGAAAGCUAAACAAAUCUGGUCUACCACAUAAGUGAAGAGCAUUAAGUUAAUAUAUGACCCUUAGCUUUAAUAAAGCUUCUUACUUUUCUUUUGUUUAGCGCACUAACCAUAGUAAAUCUGGUGGU
rnacentral:lncRNA from 1 species